CUGGAACUGUGGCUGGGCACUCCAUCAUGCCGGUCCAUGGCGGAAUAGGUGUGGACUAACAUCUGGAAAUAAAAAAAGUCUUGUAAUAGCUAAAAAUCAAAGUGUGGCGAUAACACUAAUAUUUGGAAGGGAAAAAAAUAUAUAGAGAUAUAUAUCAAGGAGAUCUGCAAAGGGCCGUGUUGGACACAGGAGAACAGCUUGAGGUAUUUCGGAGACUAUCCAUCAAAAAAAGAAAAAAAAAAAAGAAAAAAAAAGAAAAAAAAAGAAAAAAAAAGAACCAAUGCCCCCAAAACCGAGCCUGGAAACCUCUAUCUACAUAUAUGAUUCACCCCUCCCUCUCUGUUGUUGUUGUUUUUUCUUUUUUUUUUCUUUUUUUUUCUUUUUUUUUUUUCCCUUUGAGCUCCCAAACGCAAUCCUCUUCAACCCAAGGCUGGGCUCAGACUGCUCCGCUACCCCUUCCUCCCUUUCCUUCCCUACGCCGCCUCAUAAUAAUUGAUAUUCAUGACUAUUAAUAUUACACGACUACUUUAAAGGGAGAAUGCAGGACCAAAUGGAGCGUGAAGCUGGCAGCCAGCUCGAGAGCUCCCCUACUAUUGUAAAUGACGUUCAUUCAGUGGAGAAUUACUCGAUGUAAUCAGACGAGGGGGGCUGGCAGGGGCAGAGUUUGGGGAGAGGGAGAGGGGGGAAAAAGUUUAGCAGGGAAGAGGCAGAACUUCAAUUAACUCGAGCGGGGGAAGACGUGGAAAGCAGACACUGAGCAGGGAAGGGAGAUGGAGCAGUGCUGGAGGCGAAGAAGAAGAAAAAACAUACAUUAUUUUGAAGGCUGCCCGGAACGGAAUGACCCGAAGAGCACCCGCGGGUUAGGAUCACUCUGCCCCAUCCCACCGCUCCCACGGCCGUGGAGGGACGCACGACGCUUUCAUCUCCCCUUCCAAAAACCAGAGUGGGGGGAGAGCCCCGACAUUCCCCCACCUCGCAGGACGGGAAGGGAGACGUUUUGUCGCCCGCUGCUGCGGCACAGACAAUGGCCGGGCUGUGCAGGGGACGGGGAAGGCUCGGCGGGGCCGGGGGCGGCCGGGGGACCCCCGCACACCCACCGGGCUGAGCUGCCGGUUGAUAACUAGCCUGAAUACAGCUCGGAGACACUGGGGCUGCGAAAAGUCGGAGCAGUGCCCUCUCUCUGCUUCUCUUUCUCUCUCUCUCCCUCUCUCUCUCCCUUUUUUUUUUUUUUUUUUUUUUUUUUUCCUCGUUUCUUUUUAACACUGAGUGCUUUCCCGAUGGAAGCCCGGAGCGAUGUGGGACCGCUUUGGGGCUGCAGCUAUGCUGCCCCGACGGCGCUUCCUCGGGGCGGACGGUAUCGCCCAGCGCCCUUCCAACACCGCCACUCAACAGCUGUGCGAAUCCCUCCCCGAUUCCUACGAACACCACCACCACCAAAUCCAAAUUAAAAACACAACCACCACCACCACCACCAAAAAAAAAAAAAAAAAAAAAAAAAGACGAAGCGGCAAACCUUUCCCUCCAUCUAAUUAUUAUUAUUAUUUGUUCCCAUUUCGGAGCCGAUCCAGCGCGCUGCUUUACUUACAAGGAACGCAUUCGCGGAGCCGUGUUGGGAAAGAUCCGGGCAAAAUUAAGAACCGUUUGGCUCUGCUGUGGUCCCCCCCCCUCCACACACACACCGUCCCCUCCCGCCUCGCUCUGCUUUUGGACCUCAAAAAUCCCGAGGAGGUCUCUGAAAUAAAGCCCAGAACUUUCCGUGCCCGCUUUGGAUGGAUCGGUUCGGCUGUGUGCACCCACGGACGUGCGACAAUGUGUGUGCCUCGUCAUUAGUGCGGGUGGAUGCGGACGCGCACAUCUUAUCUACCGGUGUGUGCGUGUAAAAAGAGUCGUAAAAACGCCAUCCGGUCGUGAAAAGGAGGAAAAGACAAAAUAUACAUAUAUCCAAAUUCGGGUUUGAGCUUAGAUUGGGAUCGGAAAUUAAGAAACUAGGACAAAAAGAAAAGAAAGAAAUGCAUCCCGUCCCCGAAUAGCAGAUCGCGUUUCUCUUCUAAUUUCAUCUUUUCCCCUCUUUCUCGACAUUUGCCCGUAUUUAAUCGAAUUACAUUUAAUUCGGGCUCUAAACAAUCCAACUCUUGCCUUUAAGUUGCCUCAUUCCAACCCCCAGAUCGUUUCUUUGAUGUUUUAAAUCGCAUCAAACAGCUUUUCCACGAAAGAAAAAAAAAAAAAAAAGAAAGAAAAAAAAAAGUUUAGGACUUGGCAUGCCGGCUACAAAUUUGCAAAUAAAUAAGCAUUUAAG
rnacentral:lncRNA from 1 species